rnacentral:tRNA from 1 species
AAGGUCCUAGCUUAAUUAAAGCGCCUGAGUUGCAUUUGGGAGAUGCGGGGUAAUGUCUCGCGGAUCUUA